GACGAACCGUGCGAACGUUAUUCGGAAUCACUGGGCUUAAAGGGCGCGUAGGCGGGUCCGUCAGUCAGGGGUGAAAUCCCACGGCCCAACCGUGGAAGUGCCUUUGAUACUGCGGGCCUCGAGGGGGAUAGGGGCGUGCGGAACUCAGGGUGGAGCGGUGAAAUGCGCAGAUAUCGGGAGGAACACCAAUGGCGAAGGCAGCUCGCUGGGACGGUACUGACGCUGAGACGCGAAAGCGGGGGGAGCAAACAGG
rnacentral:rRNA from 1 species